UUGAAAGGGAAACGAUUGAAGUCAGUCGUACCGACGAGAAAUCAACUUAUCGUGUGCGAACUUGUGGGCGUGCGUGAGUUUCGGCCUCGCUGUUUGCAUGUUUGUGCGCUUUGGGUGUACUUUUUCGUAUGGUAGGCCAACGUCAGUUUCGAUUAUCAUAAAAUGACCGGCGGAAUGUAGCUUCGAUUUCGGUUGAAGUGUUAUAGCCUCUGGUAGAUGUGGUGAUUGAGACUGAGGAUUGCAACGAAUACCCUUUGGGCUAUCCGUCUGGCCUCUGAAAGUUGCUCAGGUGCCGAAAGCGUGCUUACGGUCAUCUAAGAUAACGUUCAACAGGUUAGAACGUGAUUACAUUCGUUAAGGAUGUUG
rnacentral:rRNA from 1 species